AUAAACUAGGAUUAGAUACCCUAUUAUAUAAAUAGUAAAUUUAUUUCCUUAUUAUUAAAAGUUAUGGUCUUUAAAAUUAAAGAAUUUGGCGGUAAUUUAACCUAUCAGAGGAACCUGUCCUGUAAUUGAUAAUCCACAAUUAAUUUUACUUAUAUUAGACUUAUAUAUCUCUGUUGUUGAAUAUCUUUUUAAAGUAUAUUCAUUUUUAAUAUAAGUUAAAAAUAACAAGUCAAGGUUUAGUAAUAUAUAAGUAGAGAUGGGUUACAUUUUUAUUAAAAUUGGAAAAUUAUAUGUAAAUGUUUUGGAAAUUGGAUUUGAUAGUAAAAUUUUUUAUAUUAAAAUUUUGAUUUAGGAUCUAAAUUAUGUACAUAUCGCCCGUCGCUCUCAUAAUAUAUAUUAUUUUUGAGAUAAGUCGUAACAAAGUAGAUUUAUUGGAAAAUGAAUCUAGAAUG
rnacentral:rRNA from 1 species